UACAGAGGGGGCAAGCGUUGUUCGGAAUUACUGGGCGUAAAGGGCUCGUAGGUGGCCAACUAAGUCAGACGUGAAAUCCCUCGGCUUAACCGGGGAACUGCGUCUGAUACUGGAUGGCUUGAGUUUGGGAGAGGGAUGCGGAAUUCCAGGUGUAGCGGUGAAAUGCGUAGAUAUCUGGAGGAACACCGGUGGCGAAGGCGGCAUCCUGGACCAACACUGACACUGAGGAGCGAAAGCCAGGGGAGCAAACGGG
rnacentral:rRNA from 1 species